CAGAACAGGAACUGUGUUAGGGAUAAAAACCCCUGCCCUACCUGGCUAGGUGUGCUCUUGUGAUUGUGACUGACACAGGCAGCACCCUUUUGCAGAAGUAGAUGUGCGUUGCUGAGAAAUUUUCUGCCUAAGUUCUGGUUUUCUUUGCAGCACCCAGCAUUUGUUUCUAACACAGGGAAAGAGUGAGCUGGAGAAACCUCUCAAAUUCAAGAAAGCGUAAAGCAAAUUGAACAAUACGGGUGAGGGUUGGGGAAAAGAAGCCCUCUGCACACCAGAAUUACCCAGAGACAUGGAACACUUAGCACUGCAUCAUAUGUUGGCCUUACAGAGGUCCUCCGUAUUCCAAUGUGAGGAAGGAAGUGGUGGUACAUUUGCAGAAGGCACUAAAUUAAGCGACUCUAAUGAACCAGAUAGAAGGGACCACUGCAACAGGAUUUAGUUUCCUCCUCGAACCAUGAAAGAGACCAGGAGAGAAUAGGCCUUCCUCUUUGGCAGCCAACAUGGAAACAGGAUGAACAAGACCAGGAGGAGGUUUUCCUCUGUUUCACAGGAGCACGGACUAUUCUCUCAUGUUGAAUGUGGCACUUUUUACAUACAAGCAGGAGAGCAACUACACCAAGAUUUUGGAAAACAUGUUAUGUAAGGUUAAUUGUGACCUCUAUGAUGGGGAUAUGAUAAAGAAGAAAAGUACCUCACAGCGAUGAUUGGCAUGUGAUCACUUAGCCAAUGAGAUAAGAGGCUGUAGAAACGAUGUGAUAAUGACAUCUCCUGAGUUGCAGGUCCAUAUUAGAAGUGGAUAUGAAGUAAACAUUGAGCUUUCCUCACAUUUAAUUAACAAGCUUUAUUAUAGAUACAGCUCAAAUUAGUUAAUUCAGGAAGCUUAUUUUGUAGAAAUUAAAACAUUAAUAAACACAUACAUUUAGAAAUAAAGAACUCGGCUGACCCUUUGACUCUUUGAAACAAGUGGCCUUCCAUGCUGUGAAAGAUUGUAGCCACUCUUUGAGACAUUGGAAUGGUGUCCAUUGCAUUUUAUCAAGUUAACUAUAGGUCAGCCUGGGAAAUCUGAAGUUUCCUUAUCUCCUGUCACUGUGGUUGCUGUGAGAUUUUGUGUCAUCACUGUGCUGUCUUCCCUCUCCACAUGAAGGUGAGCUGUCUGGCUUCACUCUAACGUUUGUGAUUUCACGCCCGACCUGAUUGUUGCCAAGCAAUUCCUUUGUUUGGAGAAUUCUGUGCUUUGUUUAGAAUUUUUUAAAGGUUCUUUUCCUGUGGUCAGAUUUCUGUUUGCUACUGUGUCUUAUGCCUUGUUCUCCUACAGAGAAGAUUCUUUGAAGUUAGUGGAAGCUCAGCUUAAAGGAAGAUCUACUGCUCUGUGUGGUGGAUGACCAUGGGGGAGCGAGAAGGCAGCCUCCGGCUUUUGUUUUGUGUGUGUGUGUGUGUGUGUGUGUGUGUGAUGUACCUGGAAAAAUAACACGACUAGGAUUAAAGAGUAUGUUUGGCAUGUUUAAAAUAAAUUGUAAACCAAACGUAUUUUAAAGAAUUUAUACAAAUUUGUCAUUUAGUAAAAUGAAUGACUAUUGAGUAUUCAUGUCAAUAAAACAACCACUUGAAUACAACAA
rnacentral:lncRNA from 1 species